UACGUAGGGCGCAAGCGUUGUCCGGAAUUAUUGGGCGUAAAGAGCUCGUAGGCGGUUUGUCGCGUCUGCUGUGAAAACCCGAGGCUCAACCUCGGGCCUGCAGUGGGUACGGGCAAACUAGAGUGCGGUAGGGGAGAUUGGAAUUCCUGGUGUAGCGGUGGAAUGCGCAGAUAUCAGGAGGAACACCGAUGGCGAAGGCAGAUCUCUGGGCCGUAACUGACGCUGAGGAGCGAAAGCAUGGGGAGCGAACAGG
rnacentral:rRNA from 1 species